UGCGGCGAUGCCUCCAGUAAGAGGCUCUAUUCCCUUCAGAAGGGACGUAAAGGAUUUGUGGCCCAAUCCCAAUUUGAAACGGCCGGUCAAUCAGGUAGUUCAAUGCAGAAUUGGACUUGCUUAGAAGUUUUACUAUGUUAUCUCUUUUGCUACUUGGGUAAAGUUGGUAUUAUUUUAUUUUUUUCCUUACAGCAAUGUCAUCAUCUUUUGGGUCCUUUCUUUGUGUACUCGAUUGAGCAUGUGUGUUAUAGGCCAAUUAUCACUUCCACCAUAUGAAGUUUCAGAUUGCUCUCUCAUGGAAAUCACCUAGAAAGUUAGCUACAUUUGAUGUGACUUCUGGAAUAUUUUCCUUUUAUAGGUUUUGUUGUUUUGAUAUUGGCUGAAGAUUUAGCUAUCCAUGUUGUGGAUGUAACUCCUCUGAUCCAUUGGUGGAUUCAGAGAUUAUUCUCUUUCUUCGUUUUGUCAAAUGAAAAAUAAGGUAGCGAAUGGCGAAGCAUCUCUAAUCUUAUUGUCUACAGGAAAUGUUAGCAGGAGAGUUGCUUGCUUGAACAAGUGUUAUGAUGUAGUUUACAUUUUUUGUCAUUGUCUUUGUGUAUGUUUGUCUCUCCAUCUCACUUUAUGUGCGUGUGUGUAGAUGUAAUUGGUGACAUCUCUCCAAAGCCCUGUUAUGGUUACAGAUCUAAUUGGUCAUGUCUUUGAUUGUCUUAACUGAUUAGUUGCUCAGAAAUUGGGGACGGAAGAUGAGGAUAAAGAAUCAGUCUCAGUUUUUUUGGGUUUUGAGGGUAGUUAACACUAUAGGUCAUGCCGCUUGAUGAAAAGAGUUCUUGACGUAAAAGCUCCACAGCCUGGGGCUUGAUAGAGUUGCUUCACUGAGUUUCACUCAGUUUUGGUUGCAUCACUUGGCUUUUCGAGUUUUGAACCUCUGCUUCUUCAGAGGUAACAACCGUGGAGAAAAGAAGGUGGACUCUCAAUGACUGACAUCGAAAAGUCUCUCGGAAGGUGGACUCUCAAGGACUUUGGCAAGGGAAAAGAGGGUCCGUGAUCUUGACUUCUUCUAUUUUAUGUGUUAGAUAUGCAAAGUUUCAAGGUUGGGCCUUUUUCUCAUUUGAAUAUGUGUUGCUUUGUCAUGUAUCGUUUGGUACAUGUUGCUUAUCUCCUGAAAUUAAUUUUCCCAAAAAAAAUUGUUUGCUUGCUCCUUAGAAAUCCUAACGAAAAUUGUGAUAUUUGAACUCUCUUACUAUUUAAGGUGUUCAACGUGACCGUGCAAUUGUAUUUGUGUUAAUUUUCAACUGUUGGGCAAAUUAAUCUAUUUCAUUCUGGACAGAGCAAUCACUAAAGUGCUUUCUAAGAGCCAAGGGGUUUCUAGGGAGUCAUAUUGGAUGAAUGUAGGAAAGCCACAACAAUAUCAUAUUGUCGGUUCUAAAGUAUCUAUUUCGAUCGUCUCAGGCGAUGGGACCGGUUUUUUUCUUGAUGUUCA